rnacentral:lncRNA from 1 species
UGCAGCACCGGUAGCAGACAUCCACUGGGGUGGCGGGCUGAAGGAGGUACAAGUCGUGCAUUUAUUUAUAAAGUAAUCAAAACUGUUGCUAUUAUUAUUAUUCCACGCUCUUCUUAUCGCUGCGCUGCCCUCGACUAACAACGAGUCGAAAGCGGGCGCUGAACAGCGGCGGGCAGUUGCAAUAUUGCAACAAACUGUUGCUAAGUUGCUAUUUGGCGAGCGUGCGAAAUUUUUCGAAGUGUUCGCGGUACUCAAUCGUGAAAGCUUAAGUCUCGAACCCGCAGGACUGAACACAAGCACCCAAUACCAGCUCAAUGUCCGCGUUCAGAGAAAUCACCACAAUUACAAUUUGCACUUGGCUAAUUGUUAUAAAUAAUUACACAUGACUGAGGCACUACACCAUUAAAGCCAAGUUUCAUUACACAAGUUUGGGGAACAUUUAAACUACGGGGCGCUCUGGCACUUUGGUUCGAUACUUGCCUCCCCAGAAUCAAAUCUAAAAGUUCCACGUAUCUUCUUCGGUAUGAAAUAGAUUCUAUUUUGGAAUAUUUUUGGAAUAAAUAUAAUAAUAUUGGAUAAA